rnacentral:rRNA from 1 species
UACGUAGGGUGCAAGCGUUGUCCGGAAUUAUUGGGCGUAAAGAGCUCGUAGGCGGUUUGUCGCGUCUGCUGUGAAAACUCGGGGCUUAACCCCGGGCCUGCAGUGGGUACGGGCAGACUAGAGUGGCGGUAGGGGAGACUGGAAUUCCUGGUGUAGCGGUGAAAUGCGCAGAUAUCAGGAGGAACACCGGUGGCGAAGGCGGGUCUCUGGGCCGUAACUGACGCUGAGGAGCGAAAGCGUGGGGAGCGAACAGG